GAUGAACGCUGGCGGCGUGCUUAACACAUGCAAGUCGAACGGAAAGUCUCCUGCUUGCAGGGGUACUCGAGUGGCGAACGGGUGAGUAACACGUGGGUGAUCUGCCCUGCACUUCGGGAUAAGCCUGGGACACUGGGUCUAAUACCGGAUAGGACGAUGGUUUGUAUGCUAUUGUGGAAAGUUUUUCGGUGUGGGAUGGGCUCGCGGCCUAUCAGCUUGUUGGUGGGGUAAUGGCCUACCAAGGCGUCGACCGGUAGCCGGCCUGAGAGGGUGGACGGCCAAACUGCGACUGGGAUACGGCACAGACUCCUACGGGAGGCAGCGGUGGAGAAGAGUGUACAAUGGGCGCAAGCCUGAUGCAGCGACGCCGCGUGGGGGAUGACGGGCAUCGGGUUGUAAACUCAUUCCGCUAGGGACGAAGCGAAAGUGACGGUACCGGGAGAAGAAGCACCGGCUAACUCCGUG
rnacentral:rRNA from 1 species